rnacentral:lncRNA from 1 species
AAAAAACACGCGGCAACAAAAUUGUAAUUUCUAUCAACUUUUUAACAAUGCUUGUCUAAUUAAAAGUAGAAAUGUGGAUAGUUAUCUAGAGAACUGUCGUGAAAAGUGGGACAGAUGAUAAGGAAUCAUCAUUAAAACUUUCAAAAGUAACGACAAAUAUAUAGAGAACCGUCAUCGAAUGUGCAAUAUCUUCAAUAGAAAAAGAUACGAUUCUUUCUCCCACAUGACUUUAAUUUGAGUGUUUCGUCUUUCCUCUACAUUUUCAUUUUCUACACCUCCCAUACUUUCAUUUUCUCUUCUCUUUGCCUUUUUGUUUUCUCUUCCCCUUG